GUCAAUGUCGUUUGAGAUGUCAAAUGAGCUGUCAUUUUCACAAAGCUAUAAACCACAAUGUUACAAAAAUUUAUAUGGAGCUGUCAUUGUUUCAGGUUAGCUUUGUGAAAUUGACAACUCAUUUGACACUAUUUUGAGGGAAGAAACCGUUAUUUGACAGUGAUCUAUUGGUUUUCAAUAAAAAAAAACUU